GUUCCGAAGAGAUAUGGUUAGUUUUUGUUCAGGUAGGAAUACUGCAGCUGGUUCUGUGAGGGUAUUUUAAACUGAAAAAUAAUUUCUUUUCAAUGGACAGUUUAUGAUGUUAUUGUAUUGUUACCAAAAACAUCAAAUCUUUUUCUGUGGGUUUAAUCUUGAGGUGUAUUCAACUGCCAAGAUAUUUAGGAAAAAGGAAAAGCCAUUAAGGUACUUAGUUUCACAUAGCAUUUGUACUUCUUUUUACCCAAUCUACAAUUAUAAGGAGCUCAAUUUCAUCAAACCUGCAUUGCAGUAUUCAAAUAGUGGCUAUUUUUGAAACUGUCAAAUAAACUCACUGUUUUUGGGUACUGUAUUAUUUCUCAAAAUAGAGACAGCACUCAGUUUAGAUAUUAAUUUAGUAUGCAUGAUGCAAAUAUAAUCUCUCAGAUUUCAAAUAAGGGAUUUAAAUUAGAUUUAUCUACAAACUUGGUAUCAGUAACUAAGUAGCACUUGCCUAGGUAGAACUUGAAAGUGAGCUCAUAUCAAUACCAUGUCCAUUUUUAUACAUUUGGUGAUUAUUGUCAUAAGGAGUGGAUUUUAAGCAGAUUGUUAGCUGUCAGACAUGUUACUGAGUUAGUUCACACUUUACCAACUGAGAUAUUUAGCAUUUGAUUCACAGCCCUCGAAGGGAUUAUUUCUCCUCCUGUCUACCCCUGUACCUUACAAAGUGAAAGGCUCCUCUGUCAGAUCAUGUUUUUGCUUGUCCUGUUGAGAAUUGUGUGUUGUGGGAAGUGAGAACUGAGAAGGUUGAUGAUGGUUUGCGUCAUGUGUACAAUGUGUAGCUGUGAAGGUUCUUAUUUGCUUCAUUUGACACGGAGCAAAUGUUUGUUUUUGUUUUCAGCGACUGAGAAUUUGAGAAGGCGAAAAGAUUAAGAAAGGUUGAGGUUGAGUCUUAGUUGACAGUCAUAUGGAAUUGUAUAUGGUAUUGUAUGGAAAAGAUUGGUUGACAAGUCAGUAUUUAUUCUGGAGUCAGAAAAUUCAUGAUAAAGCUGAUGAAAUUAUACUGAUAGAUUUUCACAAAAUAUAAUGUUUCCUUACCUCUUUUUCCCCCCAUGUUUUUUAAAAUUGCAUUGAUUUGUUUUGUCUUAGUUUCGCUUUAUUUUUGCACUGGAUCUUUGUUUUGUACACCAUGUACUGUAUACCCAACCC
ensembl:lncRNA